AACCUGCGGAAGGAUCAUUACUUUUGUGGAGCUUGCUCCUCUCAGGGAGAGCGAAAGGAUGCCGGUUGCUCUAUGCGCCCGGUUAUGCGAGUAAGCUCUCUGUCUGAACCCUUGUCUUUUUGCGUACUUAUGUUUCCUCGGCAGGCUUGCCUGCCGUUUGGACAAACCUAAAACCUUUUUAAUUCUCAAUCAGCGUCUGAAUAAUUAUAAUAAUUACAACUUUCAACAACGGAUCUCCUGGUUCUGGCAUCGAUGAAGAACGCAGCGAAAUGCGAUAAGUAGUGUGAAUUGCAGAAUUCAGUGAAUCAUCGAAUCUUUGAACGCACAUUGCGCCCCUUGGUAUUCCAUGGGGCAUGCCUGUUCGAGCGUCAUUUGUACUCUCAAGCUUUGCUUGGUGUUGGGUGUUUUGUCCCUUCUUUUAUGUCUGGACUCGCCUUAAAGUCAUUGGCAGCCGAUAUAUUGGUUUUGAAGCGCAGCACAAUAUGCGCCUCUUACUCAAAAUACCGGCAUCCAUUAAGCAAUUUAACACGCUUGACCUCGGAUCAGGUAGGGAUACCCGCUGAACUUAAGCAUAUCAAUAAGCGGAGGAAAAGA
rnacentral:rRNA from 1 species